rnacentral:misc_RNA from 1 species
AAAAAUAGUUAACUAAAAUUUUCACAGGUUAACUAGUUUUGUGAAAUAGGAAAUUUAGCUAACAGAACUAGUUAACUAAUUUAGCUGCUGUCUGACUUGAAUUUUAAAAAUUUGGGUUUUUUUAAGGAAAGUUGUAAAAAUUAUUUUGCCCAUUUAAAAACCUUAGGAAUGAUGUAAAAACACUUCCUAAAUACUUUAAUCUAAAAACAA